rnacentral:RNase_MRP_RNA from 1 species
GUUCGUGCUGAAGGCCUGUUUCCUAGGCUACAAACGGGGGACUUGUUCCUUAAUUAACGCCUAGGGGAAAGUCCCCGGACCGCGGGCAGAGAGUGCCACGUGCAUGCGCACGUAGACCUUCCCUGUGUUUCACUGUAAAGUCCGCCAAGAAGCGACCCCCCCAUCGUGUACGGCGGCGGGGGAGCGGAGCGGAGUGUUGCAGGGGUGUGUCCUCAGUCAGCUCUCCUAGUUACGCAGGCAGUGCGUUUGUGCGCACCAACCACACGGGGCUCAUUCUCAGUGCGGCUGU